rnacentral:rRNA from 1 species
AGUAACGCGUAGGAACCUGCCGCGGAGUGGGGGAUAACGCUGGGAAACCGGCGCUAAUACCGCAUGUGGCCUUUCCGGGAGACUGGAAAGAAGAAAGCACAUAGUGCGCUCUGCGAGGGGCCUGCGUCCGAUUAGCUUGUUGGUGGGGUAACGGCCUACCAAGGCAUCGAUCGGUAGCUGGUCUGAGAGGAUGGUCAGCCACACUGGGACUGAGACACGGCCCAG